CACACACUCACCGUUGAAAUCGCUGUUGUUUAUUUAACUAUUAAAUGAUAGAUUGAACAUUGAGAGUGCGGUCGACAGUUUUCUGUCCUUGUUUGGUUGGAGCUUCUCAAAACAACGUGAUUCGUAAUUACACGCAGGUGACUGUGAAUCAGACGACAGUGUCAGACAUUAUUGAAUAUUCAUUUUCACGGUGAACUUUUAAAGAAACUAAAACGAAUGUUGUAAUGUGGAGUUCAACCAGCACUAUACUGGUUUAUUUCUCUACACUUGUAAAAGUAUUUAUUUGUCAUUCCCAGAGCAGCAACAACUAGCUACCUCUGAUUGCCCAACACAGCUAACACAAGAGGAUGGCUUGUGUCUGUAAAUAAUCAGCAUUUAUGACUUCUUGUAUUGGAUGAUAUGAGAUUGUGCAAGCGGUGUCAGUGUUGCGGUCUGCGUGAUGGAUGGAGGUGGUUGUGCAGCUCCCGGCAGCACCAAGCUCCUCAUUAACCUAUGUUUGGAAGAAUAUUGCUGAGUGUGCGCCAGUGUUGGCCAGAGCAGUUGGAGCUCUUUUCUCCCUCACCUACCAAAGCUGUGCAUUUUGAAAUAAAACAAUUUAAAACAAUUAAUAUGACAG